rnacentral:tRNA from 1 species
AGAAAGUUAGGUUAAAUUAUAAAACUUGUAGUCUUCAAAACUUCGGAUAUGUUGGAAUGUAUUUUCUG